GAUGAACGCUGGCGGCGUGCCUAAUACAUGCAAGUCGAGCGAACAGACGAGGAGCUUGCUCCUCUGACGUUAGCGGCGGACGGGUGAGUAACACGUGGAUAACCUACCUAUAAGACUGGGAUAACUUCGAGAAACCGGAGCUAAUACCGAAUAAUAUAUUGAACCGCAUGGUUCAAUAGUGAAAGACGGUUUUGCUGUCACUUAUAGAUGGAUCCGCGCCGCAUUAGCUAGUCGGUAAGGUAACGGCUUACCAAGGCAACGAUGCGUAGCCGACCUGAGAGGGUGAUCGGCCACACUGGAACUGAGACACGGUCCAGACUCCUACGGGAGGCAGCAGUAGGGAAUCUUCCGCAAUGGGCGAAAGCGUGACGGAGCAACGCCGCGUGAGUGAUGAAGGUCUUCGGAUCGUAAAACUCUGUUAUUAGGGAAGAACAAAUGUGUAAGUAACUAUGCACGUCUUGACGGUACCUAAUCAGAAAGCCACGGCUAACUACGUG
rnacentral:rRNA from 1 species